GAAUGGGUUUGUGCCCCUCCUACUUUUGUAAUGUGAGGGUUUAGCCAAUGAAUAGUGACUCUGAAGGUAUAAAAGUGCAGCCUGUCAGUCGUAGGUGUGCGUCAUUGAGGGGGGCCGUUACGUCAUCAACGCGCCACCGCUUGUUUGCUUGAGUGGACUGUUUACAUCCGUGAGACCGCCGAGGCUGCUAACCACUGUUAUAUUUUGCUGCGUGAGGAACCAAAUGUGGACAAUUGAGACGGGUAAUUUAGUCUCUGCUUAGCUGGUGCUGCGCUCUUUUGGGGGUGGGAUCACUAACUGAUUAACCUCCAGCGUCUCUCAGUGUUUUCGAUUGUGAGUAUCACUGGCUGCUUGAGUAUUAAGCUAAGGGAGAAGAACGAGCAGCGUAACAUCAUCUUGCUUUGUGUUUGUAGGCGCGAGGUGAAGGCAAUGGCUGCGUACUACUAAGUGCUGCGUUGCAGGCUGUAUAUUUCAUGCUGCAUACUUCCUGCUUUGGGCUGCAUACUCCAUACGCUGCGCUGCAUGCUUCAUGCUGCAUAUUCCAUGCUUUGUGCCUCAGCGGGCGCUGCUGUUUUGUUUCUGUUUUGUUUCUAUUAUUUUGUUUUCUACUGUUUUGUUUCCUGUGUGUGUGUGUGUGCUGAAACGCGACUGCGCGUUCUCCUUAAACAAGGCUGAAGCGGCUCUGUAUUGAGUGUUUGAAAGUUCUUUGUCUAAUUUUGUUUUCAGCAGGGUUUCCCUGUCAUGUUUAACUCUUUCUUUUCUUUGGUUGAUACAUUAAUCAUUUAACUUUAUUUGUUUUGGUGUUCUAACUCAUUUGAUCUGAAUCCAAUUGUUUAUUCAACUUCUUUUUUUCUCUUACUUUCAUUAUUAUUCAUAUUAUUUGGUUGUGAAGUCAAGGACAUUUUUGUCUAUAAGAGUUUUGGGUUUUGUUUAUUUAAUUUGUGCAGACUCAGGGACUGGGCAUUGCAUUAUUCCAUACACAUACAUAUAUUUGAAGCUGUGUAAUGUUUUGCGACUUAAUUUAGUCUAGUAAGAAUCUUUAUUUUGUGCAAUGUGGUCUUUUGAGCUGCACUAAGUUUAUUAUUUUGUUAUUUCUUUACUAUUUUUCUCUAAAACUUUCUCUGCUUGCCGCGCUCAUUUCAGACACAGCGCUUGCAUUCAGUGAAUUUAUUGUUUAUUUUAAUACCUCUCUUUGUUU